AAUGUAAACAAAGUUAAAAAAAUAAUAACCAAAACCAAGGCGGGCACCGAUUGCAGCACAAUUAUCUGGAUCUUUAACCGAACCCGAUUCGAUUCGAUCGGCCAGUCCGUUGACGAAUGUAUUCUUCGACGAUGCCAAAUAGCAGGUUGGAUACGUUCCGGUGGAGCGGCAUUAUGGCCUAGUGGGCAAUCGAUGCACAAAACAUAUUUUUCUAUAUAGAAGACCGCGGUAUCUUCCGGUCGAUACAGUUCUCCCUUGACAAUCUGGCGUUGACCAUCCUGAAACAUCCUUCGAUUUUAUGCCAUUCACCAGCAUAACAAUUGCAGCCGCUGCCUGGGUCAGGAUAUUUUCGUAUUGACGUAUUCGUACAAGACGGGAAGAACAGCAUCUAUGGGUUUGUUUGAAUUAAGGGACGUCAGAUUGCGUUGAUAUUUCUGACAAGAGGAUGAAGCUGAAGACCUCGUCGAACGGUGCUUUUCGUCGUUGAGUCUGGCGGUCCAUUAUGAAAACCUCAAUGUUUACAUUUCCUGAACUGUUGGUAUACGGUAAUGGAAAUGAUUCGACCUGCACAACAUCGUUAUCAAUCCGAUAAAGCUGAAACGAAAAUUACGAUGCAAAGGCUGCAAUACUUCGGAGGCCACCGUUUCUAUUCCGGAUAUACAAAGUAUUUCUCGAAGGUCCGAAAAUUGGUUGGUUGACCAUUACGAUGCUUCACCAGGAAAAGGAUGGGUCGACACUAUUUUUCAUGAUUAAAAUUACAGGUAAGGUAAGGUACAAUACUCAAGCUAUGAUGUUAGAAUCGAAACGAAAUUAGCAAGAAUGAGUUAUUCAAAUAAUUUGAUAACUGAGGCCUUAAGAAUCAGAGGGGUGCAGAGUUAGAGUCAAAAGUUGAGUAAAUCAUUCGAUUCGCCAUAUUUUAAUUUACAUCUGGUGCAAAACUCAGUUAUUUUUGAAAAAAAAUUUGCACUUUUGUUUGAACUAAAACUGCUCGAAUAAAAAAUAUAAAUGAGAAAUCGAGCACCUUGACAACUUUGAAGAACUUUUUCUUCAUUUUGAUUUCUUUUUUUUCGUUUUU